rnacentral:rRNA from 1 species
GAGGAAAAGAAAAUAACCAUGAUUCCCCUAGUAACGGCGAGUGAAGAGGGAAAAGCUCAAAGUUGGAACCUGGCUGUCUUAGAUAGUCCGGAUUGUAAACUAAAGAGCGUGAGUCCAGGCAAGCCGGUUGAUCAAGUCCUUUGGAAUGAGGCGCCACUGAGGGUGAGAGCCCCGUAAAUCGACUGAGCAUUUGUCUUUUGUGUCUCGCGUUCAAAGAGUCAGGUUGUUUGGGAAUGCAGCCUAAAGCUGGUGGUAAAUCCCACCUAAAGCUAAAUACAGGCGAGAGACCGAUAGCGAACAAGUACCGUGAGGGAAAGAUGAAAAGUACUUUGAAAAGAGAGUUAAACAGUAUGUGAAAUUGCCAAGAGGGAAGCAUUUGGAGUUAGACUGACUUGGAGUUAAUCAGCUUGGUCUUUGGACUGGGUGUACUUGACUUCUAUGUCUGCCAACAGCAGUUAGUCCUGAUGGAAAAAACUGAAGGGAAGGUAGUCCUUCGGGAUGUUUAUAGACCUUUGGAAAAUACAUUGGGAUUGACUGAGGAAUGCAGUAGAUGCUAUUAAGGCUUCGUCUAUUGGGUGUUAGGUAAAGGUACUUGGUAUUUUCAGCUUGCUGAUGUGCUAGGUUACUUGAGCUUAAUUGCCUAGUAGAACUGUAAUCUACUUGGGUUGUUGGCUUAAUGACUCUAAAUGGCCCGUCU